rnacentral:rRNA from 1 species
AACGAACGCUGGCGGCAGGCCUAACACAUGCAAGUCGAACGCCGUAGCAAUACGGAGUGGCAGACGGGUGAGUAACGCGUGGGAACAUACCCCUCGGUUCGGAAUAACUCAGGGAAACUUGAGCUAAUACCGGAUACGUCCAAGGUUUUAAUCGACCUUGGAGAAAGAUUUAUCGCCGGAGGAUUGGCCCGCGUCUGAUUAGCUUGUUGGUGAGGUAAUGGCUCACCAAGGCGACGAUCAGUAGCUGGUCUGAGAGGAUGAUCAGCCACAUUGGGACUGAGACACGGCCCAAACUCCUACGGGAGGCAGCAGUGGGGAAUAUUGGACAAUGGGCGUAAGCCUGAUCCAGCCAUGCCGCGUGAGUGAUGAAGGCCUUAGGGUUGUAAAGCUCUUUACCCGGGAAGAUAAUGACGGUACCGGGAGAAUAAGCCCCGGCUAACUUCGUGCCAGCCGCCGCCGU